UCGCCUGUUUAUCAAAAACAUAGUUUUAUGGUUAUAUAUAAAAUAUUUUCUGCCCAGUGUCAAUAGAUAAAUGGCCGCAGUACCUUGACUGUGCUAAGGUAGCAUAAUCAAUUGGCUUUUAAUUGAAGUCUAGAAUGAAUGGGAUAAUGGAAUUUAGCUGUCUUGAUUUUUUUAAUAAAAAUUUAUUUAUAAGGUGAAAAUACCUUAAAUUAUAAUAAAGACGAGAAGACCCUAUGAAUUUUUCAAUUUUUUUGUUGGGGCGACAGUUUAAAAUAUAAUCUUAAAUUUUAACUAUAUAACGAUUUUUUUAAUAAAAAUUAAAUUACCUUAGGGAUAACAGCAUUAUUAUUUAAAUAGUUUGUGACCUCGAUGUUGGACUAGGAACUAAAAGGCUAACCGUCUUUAUAGAUUUGUUCUGUUCGAACAAUUUUAUCCUACGUGAUCUGAGUUCAGACCGGA
rnacentral:rRNA from 1 species